CAUACUGAUCUACAGGAGCCCACGCACAGGCACACAGAGAUCUCUUCAAGGUCUGGAUAAUGUGUGUGAAGCCAAACAGAGCCCUUUCGUACUGCAAAAUCAGUUUAUCUGCUAUAUCGGGGAGUAAGGCUGUAAAAGGCGAUGAUUAUAAUUUAUUAAAACGCAUGGCAUUGACUGUCGCUAUCACAAAUUCACACAAUUAGAAAAGGGGGUUUUUUGUCUCUUCAGCUGACAACACUGGAUAUUUGAGAACCACUGCAUUUAUCAAACACGGCGGGGAGUCUUCAUCUAAAAAGUGCACUGUCAAGUCUGUCUUCGUCGCCCUGUACAUGGGAUAUUAAAGAGGAUGGUUAAGCAGCUUGUGGCCUAACGGGACACUCCCUCUAACAGUGAUGCAAAUAGCCACCCCAGCUGUCACCUAUCAGGGAGGAUCCUCGGUUUAACCAGGGAGCUGCCUCAAACAGACUGUCAGAAGCUCGCACUGAGUGACUUCGGGCCCAAAUCAGGAGUGAGAAGUGAAGAUUUGCAAAGCUGAGCGACAGCAGAGAGCAAGCUCUUUUGACAGUGGAUCAAAGAUGAGUGGGAGGUCAAAGUGUACAGCUGGUGGGGAUGAGGAGCAGCGGCGAGAUGGAAUCACAUGCCAGUCGCACACACACAACUCUCGGUGACCCGUUUCCUGCAUAUAUCAUCUCUUUGCAGGCGAGGUGAAAGUCGACCACUUGUAAUGCUGUUGCUAGGAGCCAUCAACGGAAAUGUCAGUCGACUCAGCAAGUGAUGAGAUUUGACAUAUGGCAUCAAAGCAUCAUUAGACCCGCACCUGCUGCAGAUGGAGUCUGCUCUUUCGCAAGGGGUUCAGCACCAAGGGGAGGCCUAUUGAGGGAUAGAGAAGGAUAAGAUGACCGGUCCAUGGAAAGGCAAGCCACUUAGUGGGAUUUAACCUUAAAAAGACCAGAAAAUAAUGACUGUAACCAUGAGCCUGAGCCUGUUAACUUUUUUUGUACAAAUUCUUGCACAAUAUUAAUUCUUUCAUUUAUAAAGCAGGGCCACAAAUUUGAGCUUAAAUACAAUAAAUUCACUCUAGAAAUAUAUGCUGGAUAGAGACUUUUGCCCUGAUUUCUGAAGUCAGCUUCAACAGUAGUUUCCUGUUGUCGGCAUGGUGGCUCAGCGGUUAGCAUGCUAACCUCACAGCAAGAAGGUCACAGGCUUUCUGUGGGGAGUUUGCAAGUUAUCCCCCUGCAAGCUGAAGUUGUAGUCCCUUUGACCGAGGCACUGGCGUACACCUGGGGUUGGGCUCUAGAAGCCACACUGUGGAUUCCCACAGCUCCUAAUGCUUAGGGUUUGUUAAAACCUAGCAUCAAAGUAUCUCUAGUCUGAGUCAGUAGUGCCAAGGAAGUGCCGGUUACAAUGAAAAAGUAACCCUGUGAGAUUAUAGCAAUUGCACUUUCACAAAAGCAAGAUGAUAGACAUUCUUUUCCUAAUAGAAUCAUCGUAGAGUUUUUUCUGUGCUGCCAUAAAAAAACUACUUUGUGCCAAAUACAAAGUGCAACUAAAACUAAAGACCAGUUGCACAGAUGAGCAAAAAAA